ensembl:lncRNA
AGAAACAGCAUAUACAUAUCCGAUUUAUAUUAAUUCAUCUUUCCUAAUUUGUUUCCAAAUUACAGGAGGCAUUCUUCCUUUCUCACAGUUUGAAAACGUGAUUUUAUGGCAGGCCAACAUUUUGAUAUCGUUUCUUUGGCUGACAACAAUGAUAGCCAUUUUGUUGGCACAUUUUUAGGGUCUGUCCCCAUUUUGACAAAAUCAAAAUUUGCAUCAAGUGCUUUUCUGUUUUGAGACAUACACCUCACUAUCAUCGCACUCUACUCAGCCCUUUAGUGGCAUUGAUCCUGACCGACCACAAAGAGGUAGAAGACUAUGGAGAAUCCUUUAGCAUGUUUGGCCAUGGUGGCUUCAGUGGGCUGAAUAGCGGUCCCAGAAUGAGACUGAUCCCUUGCAAGUACCUCUUCACAUCCAGCAUGGAGUCUUCAUUGCUCAGGAGAGUCCUUCCAUCUCCAACCCCUGCACUAAGCCAAUUUCUAGGACUUCCCAAUGCUGACAAAGUCCAGCAAAGAAUUUCUUGCAGCCAGUCUCAAUCCAGCCCACCUUUUACACUUGAACAUGUUUAAGAUAUGCUGGAGCAUAUAGUGGAAGACAUCAGCAGUCUGCCUUCUGGAACUUGCUGCCAUCCACUGAAACAACAGAAAACAAUUGGAUACAGUUAACUGUCCAUCAGUCCGGGAUUGGUUAAAUAAUUUAUGACACACCCAUUUAUUGGGAGACAAAACAAAGUUCUCUAUUUACUAACAUGGGAAGAUCUCCAAAUGAAAAAAAGCUAGGGGCAGAAUAGUGAGUACGGGCUCCUAUCUUUUAUGUAAAAGUAGAAAAAGUAUAAUAAAAGAAUAUAAUUAUAGUCUUACUAGUUUGCA